UGGGAUCACAGGUGUGAGCCACUACACCUGGCCAACAGAUGCUCAAUAAAUAUUUGUUGAAUGAAUUAAUGUGCUCCUUAUCUCACACCUAGUGGAUGAUAGCUUCAGGAGAACGACUUUCUGUAUUUUUCUGGAAAGACAGCUAAUGGGAACCAUAAGCUUACUCAAGCCCAGUAUAGGAGAAGUUGAUUUGCAUGCUCUCUGGAUAGGAUAUGUUUGCUAUAAUGUUAAAAUUUCCAGAAAUCCUGCCUCCCAUUCUUCCUUCUUUCCAACUUUGUCACAUCUUAAAUUUCCUGGGGCUUUCCUGAGUUAGGAUGAACCGAAAUGAUAAUGAGAAAUAACUUCUGUCCUUUCUGCUGAAAUAACUAGUCUCCCUUUGGCAUCUGGCCACACAUUCUCCUCCAAAAGUAGUGAUGCCAAGUCCUCUCAAGUAUAGCUAUUUAAAUUGCAUGCCACAGAAUUUAUAUUUUGCUAAAUUCACUGGUUACUAAGCUAUUAUGAGAAAUGGCACUCUUUCUGUUUUGAGAGCUCAUACUGAGGUCUCCUGGGGAGGAAUUUGGUGAUAAUCCAUUAAGUAUUUUCUAAUUAUUUGAACCCCUGUACAUUUCCUGGAGCUGUUCAUUCCAGAGCAAUUCUAGGAGGCACUGUGUCAGAUGGAGAGGUAUGAUGGGGUCCGCCCAGUCCCAUCACCUGGGUUAGGAUGGUUGACCUGCAGAGGUUCAUGAAGCUCUGGUCAUCAGUGCCUGGGAUCCCAAAUAGUGAGAGGAAAAUGAGAAAGGGGCUGUCAGCACUCAGGAAAAAUCUCUUCGUUGGAAACUGAAUUUACUGCUCAUUGUGCUAUACCAUCAGAAGAGAAAUGGAACAGCAAUGAAAGAGCUGGAGCCAUGUGCUUUCUUCCCAGUUAAACUCUAAGUUUCCUGAGGGCAAGGAUCUACCCUGGAUUUCUUUUGCAUCCUCCUCAGUAUUUGAAGGAGCACUCAGGAGUGCUAUGCACACAGUAAAUAUUCUAUAAAUAACCGAUUAUUAGAUGCUUGAACACGUUUCCUGCUGCCAAAGCUCCAUCAUACUCCAAAACACUAGUAUCAAAACUUGAGGAAGAAAAUCCCUUGGACACAGGAAUUGCACUUGAAUUCUAUCCAUGGAGUUCAUAAGGUUGGUCUCACUCAUUUAAUACAUUUCCAAGAGCACUCUGUCACACAGACAAUUAGAAAAGCAUUAUAGUGAACUUCUAUAGCACUCGGCUUUUAAAUUAAAUCUUGCAUCUGUUUGAUCCAUAUGUCUCUUUCAGUGUUCUUAUCCUUGACGUGGGUCCUAGAAAGAACAUUUUCUCAAGGUUGUUUUUCUUUUUUUUCCCCAUGGCUGUGAUGAAUUUGGAAGAAUCCUCCUUCAUACUGUUCUAUUUCUCCUGUGACACGGAAGGAUUCAGGUUUUGUGAGACCUGAAGCUAAUACAAUUUGGAGGACCAUCUUUAAGCAAAAGAGUACAAAAUUACGAAUACAAAACCAGGUCAGUAGGGAUUCUGCUCCACACACUGACUCAGGGACCCAGCUUGAUGAACACACCAAGAUCCCAACAAAUGGUCUUCACAGUCAUCAGGGCAAGAAAAGAGAGGAACUGGAAGAUGAAGUGCUGGCUCUUCAAUGCUUUGGGAAGCGACGCAGAUCACAUCAACUGAUAACCCAUUGUCCAGGACUAGUCACAUGACCCCAACUAACUGCUGGGGGCUGGAACACACGGGAGAACAAGUGGACUUUGGUGAGCAGAAAAUGCCUCUGCCACAGCCUCUUGGUACUUAUUGAACAUAGGAUGUGUCUUUUGAUUUAAUACUAUUAAUAGUUUGCAUUUGCAUAAAUCUCAUUAUAAAGGCAUUUUAGGUUAUUUCCAUUUAUUGUCUUAUUCUCCUCUCCUCAAGCUCUUAAAGAAACUAAGGUCCACAAAGUGGAAGUAACAACAUAAUAAGUGGAAAGGAGGAAUAAAAGCCAGGGUUGUGACCUGAGCUUUUUCUGCUCUUCCACAGUGGCUGCAGAGAAACGAAUGCUUUGUCAAGAAUUUAAUUUGAAUUUCCUUGGAGCCUUCUUAAAGAUCAUGGUGGUGGUGGGUGGGGGGAGACACAGAACCUGAUUAACUGUUUGCUGUUGAGAAAGCAAUGACUGUACCAAGAUUUUACUGAGAUUUUUGCGAAAUGGGCUGGUUUCCCGAAAUGGGCUGGUUUCCCGACAAAAACUCAUUCCUUUCUCGUUAAAAUACAAUUGCUUCCUCUUCUGGGAGCUGGUUUUAUGCUAUGUUGCAAUGCACCUCUUGUUUCCACUCCAGCUAACUGUGUCCUUAACCUUAUCCUGACCUCAUAGAACCACAGCCCUGGCUCAGCACUUAAGUAAAACCCGCCCAGAGAGGGGCAUGGGGCUUCUGAGCUGGAGUGGCCCCGAACUGGAAGGGACUUGAAUGAGAAGGGGCAUAUCAUGGAUUGUCCCAGGGUGGAAACCACCUGGACUUCUGCCUUGGUGAGCAAAAAUCAGACUCAAGAGGAACCAGUGUCCCAAAAUGGGCCUACAGUGUGAAUGAGGAAAAUAGCUAACUACCUCUUAUGUGGCACUCACAUGGGGCCAGGCAGUUUUAAGCACUUUGCUCUUUUAACUCAUUUCACCCCCACAGAAACUCCUCAUAAGGUCAGUAUUAUUAUUAUUACCACCAUUGUAAACAUAUGGGAACCAGAUAUAGGCAGCAAAAAUGACACCUCCAAGGUGGCACUGCUAGUACAAGGCAGCGUUGCGAUGACACCCGAGUAUGACAUCUGAAUAUGUGUAAGAUACUCCACCAAUAAUGAUUUUUCCCCCUGAUUAGGAAGACCAAAAAACUUUUGUAUAAAAAUAAAAAACUAUGGUGCAUAAGGAGGGAUGAGUUGGAUAACUUUUAAAACGUCUGAUGCUUAUUGCCAACUUGCCCUCCAGAAAGAGAAAGCAACCUAUACUUCCAGAGCAGGGUACUGGGAGUAAUUCUGCCUCGAUAAUCUCUGGGCCCUGAUGCAAAGGGGUGUACUGUGACAGCAUGGCUCACUAAGCCUCCUGGACACAAAUCUCUUCUCAAAUUGGUUUCCAGGACUCAGGCUCAGACAUGAAAUAAAG
rnacentral:lncRNA from 1 species